UGGGGAGUGGUGUAACAGGCAACACAGCAGAUUCUGGUUCUGUUAUUAGGGGUUCGAUUCCUCUCUCCCCAG
rnacentral:tRNA from 3 species